rnacentral:rRNA from 1 species
UACGUAGGGGGCAAGCGUUGUCCGGAAUCAUUGGGCGUAAAGAGCGUGUAGGCGGCUCGAUAAGUCUGCUGUGAAAGUCCAGGGCUCAACCCUGGGAUGCCGGUGGAUACUGUCGGGCUCGAGUCCGGAAGAGGCGAGUGGAAUUCCUGGUGUAGCGGUGGAAUGCGCAGAUAUCAGGAGGAACACCGAUGGCGAAGGCAGCUCGCUGGGACGGUACUGACGCUGAGGCGCGAAAGCGUGGGGAGCGAACAGG